GACAGAGGGUGCAAACGUUGUUCGGAAUUACUGGGCGUAAAGCGAGUGUAGGCGGUCUGCUAAGUCGGGUGUGAAAGCCCUGGGCUCAACCCAGGAAGUGCACUCGAAACUGGCGGGCUAGAGUAUCGGAGAGGUUGGUGGAAUUCUCGGUGUAGAGGUGAAAUUCGUAGAUAUCGAGAGGAACACCGGUGGCGAAGGCGGCCAACUGGACGAAUACUGACGCUGAAACUCGAAAGCGUGGGGAGCAAACAGG
rnacentral:rRNA from 1 species